AUCUGCCGUGUGAGUUAUAACCUCUCAUAAUUUUGUGCAUGUCACUGUGUCGAAUAUUUUUACGGUAGUUGCCCCUUGGAAUUUUUGUAAGUUUGUGAGGACUCGCAUUUUACAUGUUCUGACAUAUACAAGUUGUUCAAGGCGUAUUCGUUCGGUUUCAGCGUCGAAAAAGAUCGAAUUGGGGUUUUGAAGGAGCUACUCGAUUUGUUGAAAAGGUUGUGAGCAAUACAUCCAGAUGGCACCGCCCCCACCAUCUCCCGCUCAAGCACGACAGCUCUACAAAGCACUCAUGAGGGAAGCUCGAAAAUUUUCGAACUACAACGUCCGUGAAUAUGUGAAGAGGAGGACUGUUGUUGGAUUUCGAGACCAUGGUGCAGCGUCGGACUCUGAAGCUGCAGCCGCAGCUUACAUUCUGGGAAAAGACCAGCUGGAAUUGGCAAAGCGCCAAGCAAUUGUGUACAACUUGUAUUCUCCGGGGGUGAAGAGCAUCAUGGACUUAAGUUCUUAGAUUGUCUGGAGGCAAUCACGAAUUGUCGCUGGCAAUGGGUCAGCACCUCAUUGGACGUAUUUCGUGUCUAGGGUUUCGACAAAUUUCAAGUAUUGCAUCCACUUCCUUCUGCUGUCUGGCUCCUCAGAUCAAGCAUUUUAAUUUUAGUGGAUUAUGCCAUCGGUCCUUUACAAGACGUGAUUGCAGUAUAUGGGUGAAAUUCUACUUUGCGUAAUUUACAAUUAUGCGAUAUCUAGAAUAUCGGAUCGGGAACCUAAUUAUUUUAGGCUGAAAAUUAUAAACUCCUCGUUGUGUUUUUAGGGUCGAGAGUGUAGAAGUCUGUAUCACAAUUUAUUGGUGAAUGAAAGACAAGUUCUGAAUGGUUGGGAGCACAAACAGGGUGAUUCUUCCUCCAUGCAUUCUGGGUCGUAUGUAAGUUGGUGUUUGGGGUAAUUGCGGAUUAUCAGAACAGAGUUUCUGUGUUAUCAUUA